CGCGUCGCCUGGUUUUUGACGUUUUAGGGACACAGAACUCUAUAGGCAUCUGUCUAUAACCGAUGUAAUUAAUAAAAGAAAUCGUAUUUAUCGACUCCGAUCAAAUGUCAUUUACAAAUUUUGUAUUGUUCAUAAAGCAAUGUAAACGAAAAUCCCCAAAAUAACUAGAACGAUUUCCGCUCGACAAGGUAGAGGCGCUAGCUGUAUGUGUCCUUUCCAUGGAUAUAGGGAUCGAAAAGAAGCGUCGCCAUCCCAAGCCAUUAGUGUACAAACCUAUCUAUUCUAAACUCAAAUCCAUAAGGUUGUAACCACUCCCUAGUGUAAAUUUUAAAAAAUUAUUCAGUGUAAAUCUGUUUUUUAGUAACCUAGUGACAUGCCUGGUGACCUGUCAAUAUAAUGUCAGUUCAUUCAUGUAUUCGCGAUCGAUCGUGAUUACGUUCGAUUUCAUUGCAAUUCUUGCACUCCUGCACAAGUUAUUUCAUAAUUAUCAUUGUAACUUGUCACAAUAUUGUAAAAAUUGAUAAACAAUUUUCAAUAAAAACACGAUAACCUGAGUCUUCAUGGUAAUUAUGAUACAAGAGCAACGAUAAAUGGAAACGUGUUUUAUCUUUCAUCUGCAGAAAGAAGAAUGCCACCUGCUGUAAUUUAGACUUGCAGUUGAUACGUUUACGAAUUACGAUAAAACGAACCCAAAAAUAUUGUGGUCACGAAUAAAAUCAGAUAUUGGGCUGGUAAAAAAACAAGAUGGGGAAUAACUGAAUACCUAAUUCAGAAUUUGUUUAAAUUAUUGUACAUGAGUGUACGUGAUAUAUGUGUGGCUAACCGUGAUAUGAUUUGACUCGAAGGACCAGCUCUCUCAAUUGAAAUGAUCAAUCUCGCAAGCAACACCAAAAUUGUUUAUAAUGGGUAGAUAACUGUUCACCUUAAUUAGUCGCAACAGAUGACCAAUUUUUCAUCAAAAAAAUGAGACACCAAGAAGUCUUUAAUGUUAUGUUUAAUAACUCUAAUUUGGUACUACUAAUUAUUUACAAAGUGUACAAGAAAUUUGGUUGAAGGUGAUAGGCCUGGCUACGCUCCUCCGUCCUGAGGAUUUUAGUGGUAAUAAUGAACAAAAUGUAACUUCACAAAAUUCAGAAGCUAAAAUAAUAGGAGUGGUUAGAAACAUUGGGAACACAUAGACCAAAUAACCAAAAAGCAAUUAUUUUUCUGUUGUUAACUUUCUUAAAUCUGAAUCCCAUGGAUUUUAAUACUCGACGUAAAGUAUUUAAACUUGCUGUAUAUUGCAGAUGUUCUUUCGCAAAAAUAAACAAUUCCCAAAUAGUAAAAAACUCAUUUUUUUUUGUUUUUGUCAAAUAUACGGUAGGUUAGAUCUUCUUUAAAUUCCAAAUUUGAA